rnacentral:snoRNA from 1 species
CUUCAUUGAUGACCUCCCACUUGGGCCAUUGUUUCUGGGUCAUGGAAGCCCUGUGAUGGAACCUAGGAG